UUUGGUUAAGCUGAAUUCACAAUUUAGGCUCGCUAUGACUAAUUAAAGUCGGUCUGAAAACACAGCUGGUUAUUUUCAAGUAUUAAGAAAAUACUUUUUUUUUGUACAUUUGCUUUUCUUUUUCCCGAUCUCUUGGGACUUUUGCAAAUUUGAUUUUCUGUAUUGAAUCUCAUUUGUGUGGAUUUAUUUUAAACUUUUAAUCAUCUGGAGUAUGAUUUACUGAAUUAAUCAUGUUUUGGGAAGUAAAUUUUAGUUAAUUUUCUAGUGAAUAGCAUCUACCAAUAAUUAGCUACACUUUUGCAGUUACCGGUAUAAGUCGUCGAACGAUUUCACAAAUUUCAAGACCGGAAAAAGAACCGGUCCAUCAACAGCUUUAUAAGUACACAAGCUCACAUGUAGUUUGUAACCUUUUAUGCUACUUUGAUUAAUAACUAUUAUGUAUAUUAUUAGCUUGAUAUUAAAAAGAUUAAAAAAAAACAGUGGCUCUACUUUCAAUGAAAUUCAGUCUUUGUAAACACAAUGUGAGGUUGGGAGAAAAAGCUAAUAUUGGUAGUUACAAUACUUUAAUUAGCAGCCUUAUAAUUAAAGUACUUGGUGUUUCACUAAUAUGUGAUGGAUGUCUUACUCCAUUCCUAAUUUACAUUCUCCAAAAUCUUUCGAGUUCAUACGCAUUUGUGGAUCAUAAGUAGUUUAUUGAACCUCAAGACCGUUUUUCACUAAUCUGUGAUGGAUGUCUUAAUCCAUUCCUAAUUUUACAUUUUUAAAUAUAUUAUUGAGUACAUACACAUUUGUGGAUCAAAAUUAGUCUAGUUAAGCUCAAAUACAAUUGAAACUGUGUUUCUUUAUUACAAUAUGUUUUUGCUUUCUGCUUUUACCCUUUUAAGGUACCUAAAGUUUGCUGCAAAAGGUGCAUGAACUAUUUUGCUCUUGCUUUUAGCCUUCUCUCCACUCAAUAGUGUUGAUAGAUUCAGAAAUGAUGUUUUGGACAUUUAUAGGCGAGUCGAGAUGUGACGAGGAUGGAGAUAUUCAUGCAGCUAGUGAAUAUUUUGGAGCAGACGAUGAAGAGUGGAGGAAUCUCUGAGACUAUGUUGGAUGGUAUCAAAGCUACAAUCCCAUUUACCAACACCUUACCGGUUACUGGUGGCUGUUCAAUGUAACACAAUCAUUGACCGUACCGGUGUUAAAUCGGGUUUGGUUAAGCUGAAUUCACAAUUUAGGCUCGCUAUGACUAAUUAAAGUCGGUCUGAAAACACAGCUGGUUAUUUUCAAGUAUUAAGAAAAUACUUUUUUUUUGUACAUUUGCUUUUCUUUUUCCCGAUCUCUUGGGACUUUUGCAAAUUUGAUUUUCUGUAUUGAAUCUCAUUUGUGUGGAUUUAUUUUAAACUUUUAAUCAUCUGG
rnacentral:lncRNA from 1 species